UACGUAGGGUGCAAGCGUUAAUCGGAAUUACUGGGCGUAAAGCGUGCGCAGCGGUUUUGUAAGUCUGUCGUGAAAUCCCCGGGCUUAACCUGGGGAAUGGCGAUGGAGACUGCGAAGGCUAGAGUUUGGCAGAGGGGGGUAGAAUUCCACGUGUAGCAGUGAAAUGCGUAGAGAUGAUGGAGGAACACCGAUGGCGAAGGCAGCCC
rnacentral:rRNA from 1 species